AGCCCUUCUUCCAGGCAGGUAUCGUCCCCUCUGCCUAUUCCUCUGCAGCUCUCCUUCCAGGCAGGUAUCGUCCCCUCUGCCUAUUCCUCUGCAGCUCUCCUUCCAGGCAGGUAUCUUCCCCUCUGCCUAUUCCUCUGCAGCUAUCCUUCCAGGCAGGUAUCGUCCCCUCUGCCUAUUCCUCUGCAGCUCUGCCUAUUCCUCUGCAGCUUUCCUUCCAGUCAGAUAUUGUCCCCUCUGCCUAUUCCUCUGCAGCUCUCCUUCCAGGCAGGUAUUGUCUCCUCUGCCUAUUCCUCCGCAGCUCUCCUUCCAGGCAGGUGUCGUCCCCUCUGCCUAUUCCUCUGCAGCUCUCCUUCCAGUCAGAUAUCGUCCCCUCUGCUUAUUCCUCUGCAGCCCUUCUUCCAGUCAGAUAUCGUCCCCUCUGCUUAUUCCUCUGCAGCCCUUCUUCCAGUCAGAUAUCGUCCCCUCUGCCUAUUCCUUUGCGCUUUCCUUAGAGGCAGGUAUCGUCCCCUCUGCCUAUUCCUUUGCGCUUUCCUUCCAGGCAGGUAUCGUCCCCUCUGCCUAUUCCUUUG